rnacentral:rRNA from 1 species
CCUACGGGUGGCAGCAGUAGGGAAUUUUCGUCAAUGGGCGCAAGCCUGAACGAGCAAUGUCGCGUGAACGAGGAAUGUCCUCGGAUCGUAAAGUUCUUUUGAAGGGGAAAUAGAGCGGAGAGAGGAAAUGUUUUCUGAUGGAUAUUACCCUUCGAGGAAGUCACGGCUAACGCCGUGCCAGCAGCCGCGGCAAUACGUAGGUGGCGAGCGUUAUCCGGAAUGAUUGGGCGUAAAGGGUGCGUAGGCGGCCUGGUAAGUCUGGAGUGAAAGGUACCGGCUCAACCGGUACAGGCUCUGGGAACUGGGGAGCUCGAGGGACAGAGAGGGCAGUGGGAUUCCGUGGGUAGCGGUAAAAUGGGUAGAUA